rnacentral:misc_RNA from 1 species
UUUCCGUAGGUGAACCUGCGGAAGGAUCAUUAAUAAAAGGAUACCUUCGGGUAUACCCUAUCCGUGUCUACAUACUCUUGUUGCUUUGGCAGGCCGUGGUCUCCCACUGUGGGCUAUGCCUGCAUGUGCCUGCCAGAGGACCAAACUCUGAAUUUUAGUGAUGUCUGAGUACUAUAUAAUAGUUAAAACUUUCAACAACGGAUCUCUUGGUUCUGACAUCGAUGAAGAACGCAGC